rnacentral:rRNA from 1 species
AUUGAACGCUGGCGGCAGGCUUAACACAUGCAAGUCGAGCGGGGUGAUGGUGCUUGCACUAUCACUUAGCGGCGGGCGGGUGAGUAAUGCUUAGGAAUCUGCCUAUUAGUGGGGGACAACAUCUCGAAAGGGAUGCUAAUACCGCAUACGUCCUACGGGAGAAAGCAGGGGAUCACUUGUGACCUUGCGCUAAUAGAUGAGCCUAAGUCGGAUUAGCUAGUUGGUGGGGUAAAGGCCUACCAAGGCGACGAGCUGUAGCGGGUCUGAGAGGAGUGAUCCGCCACACUGGGCCUGAGACGCGGCCCAGACGCCUACGGGAGGCAGCAGUGGGGAAUAUUGGACAAUGGGGGGAACCCUGAUCCAGCCAUGCCGCGUGUGUGAAGAAGGCCUUAUGGUUGUAAAGAACUUUAAGCGAGGAGGAGGCUCUUUUGGUUAAUACCCAAGAUGAGUGGACGUUACUCGCAGAAUAAGCACCGGCUAACUCUGUGCCAGCCGCCGCCGUAA